UCCGGCCCGGCUCCGCGCAGCCCCGCGCCGGGCCGGGCCGGCGGGCAGGGCGGCCCAGCAUGUCUCCGCGCCCCCGGACAGAGCAGGACCGAUCGCCGCCGUUAGGAAGGCCGGUGUCAUCAAGGAAUUACUGGCGUUGUUCUUCCAAGACGAAUCGGCGGGCUUCCCUCGCAGAAGCAGCCUGGCUCCCAGGAAGCCUGCGGGGCAGGGCAGGGCAAGCUGCCGCCACCCCGGCGUGGCAUAUAAAGCACUUGCACUGCUCUGGCUAUUGGAUAUUCGCUUUGAUUUCAUGUAGCUCCGCAGGCGCCAGGCUCCAAGGUUUAUCGCAACGCACUAACAGUGAGUCGGAGUAGUAAGAUAAUUAUUAUUAUCAUCCUCAGAAAACUGAGCCGAUACUGGGACUAGCCGGGAUUUCACUAAUACAACAAGUCUGGUGGUUGGAAAUAACAAUGUAUUUCUAAAAAAUGCAAAGAUCAGGGAGCCAAUGUUAACACAACAGUACCAACAUUAACAUUUUAACAGGUUAAAAAGUAACUAUAUUUUUUGUUAAAGUGCCUCAAAGCGUCCAGGCUUUAAAAAAAAAAAAAAAAAAAAACCAACAACGGGGUGGGGGGAAAGAAAGAAAAAUAAAUACAUGUCAAGUGUGACAAAAUAACACAAGAUUUGCAAAACAUUAUUAGAAAGAAUCCUGAAGUCAACAUUUUCCCACUGUCAAACAUAAGCCUGUCAUUCAAGUACUGUAUUAUAAUAAGCAUUGCCAAGAAAAGUGGAACUGAGGGAAAAGUACAAAGAACAAAUGCACCAGCACAACAGUUGUAAAAUUUUCUAUUAGAAGUUCAAAGUUCUGUACCACACUUGGUACAAUUAUAGUUUAUUUGCAGUAAAAGCCCCUCCAUGCUCAACUACUUGUGUCCAUGUGCUGCAUACCCUUAAGACACAUGAUGUACAUCAACUUGCAGAAACCAGUAGGAAAAGAAAGCAGGAGAGGAAGAAAAAGGUAUCCUGGUAGCUGAGCUUAAGUCUUCCCUGUAUAUCUAAGAAUUUUGUGGAGUACUUUUUACAAUUGUACUACAGUCCAAGCAUGGGUGAUAGAGCACCUAACAGGACAAAAAGGAUUC